rnacentral:tRNA from 1 species
CUAUAGCUCAGUCCGGUAGAGCAAUUGAUUUGUAAUCAAUAGGUCCGCGGUUCGAGUCCGUGUG